rnacentral:rRNA from 1 species
GAACUGAAGAGUUUGAUCCUGGCUCAGAUUGAACGCUGGCGGCAUGCCUUACACAUGCAAGUCGAACGGCAGCGCGGGCUUCGGCCUGGCGGCGAGUGGCGAACGGGUGAGUAAUACAUCGGAACGUGCCCUGUCGUGGGGGAUAACUAGUCGAAAGAUUAGCUAAUACCGCAUACGACCUGAGGGUGAAAGCGGGGGACCGUAAGGCCUCGCGCGAUAGGAGCGGCCGAUGUCUGAUUAGCUAGUUGGUGGGGUAAAGGCCUACCAAGGCGACGAUCAGUAGCUGGUCUGAGAGGACGA